CCCAAACUAAGUGACGGGAGUAAAGUUCUGUCGCUCUGCGUCCUCAUGCCAGCUUUGGUACACACGCUUUCAUCCAAACAUAAUAUACAAAUUAAAGAUUUUAAACUGGGCGUAUAAACCUCUCAAGCGCUGGGAUUACGGGUGAGUCAUCACGGCGGGCUGUGGGAGGACAGUCAGAAACUGAGGACCAGAAAAGUUAAAUGACCCAAUUCAUCACGAAAUCGGAAUUCGUUCAGACACGGUGUCAGCUCCUUCUACCGCCGGGUCCUGUGAACCCAGGGCUACCGAGGCUCGUUUUCCCACCCUCAGCCUGGCUGCCGGGACGUUUUUACUCGUCUGCUUACUGCUAAGGGACGCGCUAAUUACAGACUCCGAACUGAGUUGCAGAAAAUAAAUCCGGAAGCGAUAAAAACCAGCAACCUGCAAAAGGCCAGUUUCUUCCCAGCUCUAUGGUUAGAGCGUGACCUUUCUCCACUCUGGAGGACUCAGAAAGCCUGACCAAUGAGUCGAUCGCUCCUGUGCACAUGACAAGAGAACUGACUUCCUAUUGGCCAGUAUAGUGAGAGCCCGCCCAAUUACUUCCGGAAGCCUUCUUUAAGUGAAGGUCUCGCGCUCUCGUCUGCCUCUUAGCGACGGGUGGACUCCAGAUCUGCCCGGUGGAGGACGGCGGACAACGUGGACCUCGCCAACCUUUCCCCCAAGUCUCUGAAUAAAGUGUUUUGACCCCAGCGCUGGCGUCCGUGUGUCACUGCCCCCGAUGCGCUGCCUUUGAGCCCCCGGCGCCCUUCCUCGUGGCGCCGGGAGUUAAGCUGCGGCGCCACAGCAAUUGCUAGUUCAUAACUGGGGCCGUCUGCCCAUCGCGGGCGGCCCUUUUAACUGCUAGCUACAGGUCCAAACCAGCCUACCACAGGCUCUGCGGGGUCGAGAGAAGGCAGCGUGCAAGUGGCAUACCCGUGGGGAAACCAUGGCCCACGUGCGUGGACCUGUUGGGUGACAACUGAGGUGAUGCUCGCCCUACGGUAGAUAGCAGGAGAGGGAGCCUCAUGAAUAGCCCUGCAAGUGUAUAAUCGUCAUCGGUGGCACAUGGGUGUUGAGGCGACUGAAAUCUGGUCGGGGAGAGGGGCUCAAAGUAAUUAGGGGAGGCCGCCUAGAGGGAUCAAUGUUUGACUAGCAAAUGUGCUGUAGGUCCCUCUCCGUUACUGGGGUGUGUAACUGGGUUUGAGUAACUGGGAAUACCUAGUAGUUAUGCUAUGGAGGAAUUUAAGAGACAGGCCUCCUCUACCUUUGGAGCCUGUCCUGGACCUCUAUAAGAUCAGGCUGACCUUGAACUCGGAUGUAUCUUCCUCCUGAGUGCUGGCAUUAAAGACGUGUACACCACAGAGCAUUUUUUAAAAAUCG